rnacentral:rRNA from 1 species
AUUGAACGCUGGCGGCAUGCCUAACACAUGCAAGUCGAGCGAGCGGCGGACGGGCGAGUAAUGUAUGGGGAUCUGCCCGACAGAGCGGGCUAACUACUGGAAACGGUGGCUAAUACCGCAUACUAUCGGUUGAACCCAUACGGGAUUAGCUAGUAGGUGGGGUAAAGGCUCACCUGGGCGACGAUCUCUAGCUGGUCUGAGAGGAUGAUGAGCCACACUGGGACUGAGACACGGCCCAGACUCCUACGGGAGGCAGCAGUGGGGAAUAUGGGACAAUGGGCGCAAGCCUGAUGCAGCCAUGCCGCGUGUGUGAAGAAGGCUUUAGGGUUGUAAAGUACUUUCAGCGGGGAGGCGUUACCCGCAGAGGAAGCACCGGCUAACUCCGUGCCAGCAGCCGCGGUAAUUC